rnacentral:lncRNA from 1 species
GUGCGCAUGAUUGACAGGUCGUAUCAUACAGUGUGUACUCCUCUUUCUCUGAAACUCACCUUCGCUCUGCUAAUGGCCGCCUGAGGGGAGAGGGUCCGUCUGGGCCUCAUAGAUAGCGAAACUGUGUGUGCCUGUGUUUGUUUUCGUUUGGCUAUUUGUGUGUGCGGAGAGUUCGCCAGUGAAUUGGAGGGUUGGCUAGAGGCGAGAGCUCUUUCCACAUUAGGAGCGCAGGGGCAAUGGUGGACCAGAUGAAGGGACCAGGGAAUUUGGAGAGUGUUAAGAUUGUGAAACCAGAACAGAUGAUUGUUGUAACACUGUCCCAUUUCAUGCUUGCAGGUAUGAGUUAUUGUGUUCAUUUUG